GAUAGAUAGAUAGAUAGAUAGAUAGAGAAAGAGAGAGAGAGAGAGAGAGAGAGAGAGAGAGAGAGAAGAGAGAGAUCAAUAGCUUCGAUUUAAUCUAUUAUCGUUCGAUAAUAUUUUUUCACGAGAAAAAAAGAAGGAGAUUAAUUUUGUAGAAAAUAAAAAGGAUAAAAAGAGAAAAGAAAAAAAAGAAAGAAAGGAAGAAAGAAAAGAAGAAAGAACAAAAUCCAACGAGGAAAACGAGAGAGUGAUAGAGUACGAAAAACAAGAGAGAGGAAAACAAAAAAAUAAAAAGGAAAAAAAAAAAGAACAGAACGAAAAACAAAGAAAAGAACGAGAUUAGGACAGGACGAAAAGGAAAAAAGGAAAGGGUUAUAAAUUGGCGGUAACUCGAAACCGCCAUGAGGUUAGUGCGAUAUAAUCGAUAUGUAGUUGCGGCAACGCGCCACCAGAGGGUAGGUCGGUAGUACAUUUGGGGUCUCGUCGGAAGGCGCGUCAGUCCAGAGUCAACCGUAGACGGCUGUUCUUACGACGGAUGUGACAAGGCCGUUUUUUUUACUCUAUCUCCUCUCCUCAACGUUCUCUUCUCUCUUUCUCAACGUUUUCCUUUUCCUUUUUUUUUUUUUCUUUUACCUUUUUCCCCCCGUAAAACAACCCAUCGUCACGCCAAUACGAGAUCGUACGUAUCAAUUGUGAGAUAUCGUUUAUCGUGAAACCGAUCAUUAUUCAUCCGUUGAGAUAUUUCGGCGGCAAACGAGAAUAAGGACGAAAAAAGGCCGCGAAUUCGUGACGAUGAUCGUGAAAAGUGUGACAGUGCGCGAGCUCGGUUAAUAUCAAAAACGUAUUAAGAGAAAAUCACGGAUUUCAAGAGAACGUUUCGCCGUUCCCGUGAAAAUAAGAAACAAAGACAGAGAGCGAGAAAACGAGAGAAAGAGAAAGAGGAAGAGAGAGAGAGAGAGAGAGAGAGAGAGAGAGAAAGAGAGAGAGAGAGAGAGAGAGGGAGAGAGAGUAGUUAGAAAAGAAAAUGGCAGAAAGCGGAAAUGACAGGGGCAGUCGUGAAACUCGAGUGUCAUAAGAAGAGUGUAGAUCGCGUGGGAUCGAAAGAAAGGGAAAUGGAAGCAAUGAAACUUCUACGUGAAUCGUCGUUUUAUCCACCGCAGCAUCCACCUCCCGUUCUUAUUACUGGACGACCGCCAUUCUCCUUGAGUCCUUGUUGCUGCUGUUUCUCUAACCGACUUUCUUUGUCGACCACUUUACGUUGCAUAAAAGGAUAAGAAAGGGUGGAUAAAGAAAAAGGGAAAUAUAUCAAAAGAAAGUGAUUUAUAUUUUUCUCCUUAAGCCUUUGUUCUAGACGAUUUUCUUUUAAAGCAAGAAAAAUUGAAGUUUUACGUAUUUGAAGAUUGGCAACAAAAAAAAAAAAAAGAAGAAGAAAGAAAAGGAAAGAAGAGGGAGAGGGAGAGAGAGAGAGAGAGAGAGAGAGAGAGAGAGAGAGAGAGAGAGAGAGAGAGAGAGAGA